CCUACGGGUGGCAGCAGUGAGGAAUAUUGGUCAAUGGACUUACGCCUGAACCAGCCAAGUCGCGUGAGUGAAGACUGCCCUAUGGGUUGUAAACCUCUUUUGUCAGGGAGCAAUUUGCGCUACGUGUAGCGUUAUCGUUAGUACCUGAAUACUAAGCAUCUGCUAACUCCGUGCCUGCCGGCGCGGUAGUAAGGAGGAUGCGAGCGUUCUCCGGCUGUAUUGGGUUUAAAGGGUGCGUAGGCGGAAUGCCAAGUCAGCGGUAAAAUCGCGGGGCUCAACCUCGCUCCGCCGUUGAAACUGGUGUUCUUGAGUGGGCGAGAAGUAUGCGGAAUGCGAGGUGUAGCGGUGAAAUGCAUAGAUAUAACGCAGAACUCCGAUUGCGAAGGCAGCAUACCGGCGCCCAACUGACGCUGAAGCACGAAAGCGUGGGUAUCGAACAGGAUUAGAUACCCUAGUAGUC
rnacentral:rRNA from 1 species